CCUGUGUGCAUGUUUAGAAGGGAAUAGGUUUGGGCAUGUUGGUUAUUCAUCGCAAUACAACUAACAUGGCGCAGUAAGGACGAGGGACAAGUCGAGACAGG
rnacentral:lncRNA from 1 species